rnacentral:rRNA from 1 species
UGGGGAAUUUUGGACAAUGGGCGAAAGCCUGAUCCAGCAAUGCCGCGUGUGUGAAGAAGGCCUUCGGGUUGUAAAGCACUUUUGUCCGGAAAGAAAUCCUUGGCUCUAAUACGGUCGGGGGAUGACGGUACCGGAAGAAUAAGCACCGGCUAACUACGUGCCAGCAGCCGCGGUAAUACGUAGGGUGCAAGCGUUAAUCGGAAUUACUGGGCGUAAAGCGUGCGCAGGCGGUUUGCUAAGACCGAUGUGAAAUCCCCGGGCUCAACCUGGGAACUGCAUUGGUGACUGGCAGGCUAGAGUAUGGCAGAGGGGGGUAGAAUUCCACGUGUAGCAGUGAAAUGCGUAGAGAUGUGGAGGAAUACCGAUGGCGAAGGCAGCCCCCUGGGCCAAUACUGACGCUCAUGCACGAAAGCGUGGGGAGCAAACAGGAUUAGAUACCCUGGUAGUCCACGCCCUAAAACGAUGUCAACUAGUUGUUGGGGAUUCAUUUCCUUAGUAACGUAGCUAACGCGUGAAGUUGACCGCCUGGGGAGUACGGUCGCAAGAUUAAAACUCAAAGGAAUUGACGGGGUCAUAGCUGUUUCCU